rnacentral:rRNA from 1 species
CGUGUAGGCGGUUGGUCAAGUCUGGUGUGAAAGCCCGGGGCUCAGCUCCGGAAGUGCAUCGGAAACUAGCCGACUGGAGCGCGAUAGAGGAGGGCGGAAUUCCUGGUGUAGCGGUGAAAUGCGUAGAUAUCAGGAGGAACACCGGCGGCGAAGGCGGCCCUCUGGAUCGUUGCUGACGCUGAGACGCGAAAGCGUGGGGAGCAAACAGGAUUAGAUACCCUGGUAGUCCACGCUGUAAACUAUGGGUACUAGGUGUUCGGGGUGUUGACCCCCUGAGUGCCGCAGCUAACGCAUUAAGUACCCCGCCUGGGGACUACGGCCGCAAGGUUAAA